ensembl:snRNA U6 U6 spliceosomal RNA
GUGCUUGCUUUGGUAGCACAUAUACUAAAAUUGGAACAAUGCAGAGAAGAUUAACAUGGUCCCUGCACAAGGAUGUCAUGCAAAUUCAUGAAGCAUCCCACAGUUUU